rnacentral:rRNA from 1 species
GGGGGGGGGGGGGGGGGGGGGGGGGGGGGGGGGGGGGGGGGGGGGGGGCAGGGCGGGGGCGGACGAGUGGGGGAGGGGGGAGGAAUACGUCGGAACGUGCCUAGUAGUGGGGGAGAACUACGCGACAGAGUAGCUAAUACCGCAUGAGAUCCAAGGAUGAAAGCAGGGGACCUUCGGGCCUUGCGCUACUAGAGCGGCUGAUGGCCGUUUAGGUAGGUGGUGGGAUAAAAGUUUACCAAGCCGACCAUCUGUAGCUGGGCUGAGAGGACGACCAGCCACAGUGGGACUGCGACACGGCCCAGCCUACUACGGGAGGCAGCAGUGGGGAAUUUUGGACAAUGGGCGCAAGCCUGAUCCAGCAAUGGCGCGUGCAGGAUGACGGCCUUCGGGUUGUAAACUGCUUUUGUACGGAACGAAAAGCCCUCUUCUAAUACAGGAGGGUCAUGACGGGACCGUAAGAAUAAGCACCGGCUAACUACGUG